AGCGGCGGAUGGGUGAGUAACACGUGGGGAACCUGCCCCUAAGUCUGGGAUACCAUUUGGAAACAGGUGCUAAUACCGGAUAAUAAAGCAGAUCGCAUGAUCAGCUUUUGAAAGGCGGCGUAAGCUGUCGCUAAGGGAUGGCCCCGCGGUGCAUUAGCUAGUCGGUAAGGUAACGGCUUACCAAGGCGACGAUGCAUAGCCGAGUUGGGAGACUGAUCGGCCACAUUGGGACUGAGACACGGCCCAAACUCCUACGGGAGGCAGCAGUAGGGAAUCUUCCACAAUGGACGCAAGUCUGAUGGAGCAACGCCGCGUGAGUGAAGAAGGUUUUCGGAUCGUAAAGCUCUAUUGUUGGUGAAGAAGGAUAGAGGUAGUAACUGGCCUUUAUUUGACGGUAAUCAACCAGAAAGUCACGGCUAACUACGUGCCAGCAGCCGCGGUAAUACGUAGGUGGCAAGCGUUGUCCGGAUUUAUUGGGCGUAAAGCGAGCGCAGGCGGAAAAAUAAGUCUAAUGUGAAAGCCCUCGGCUUAACCGAGGAACUGCAUCGGAAACUGUUUUUCUUGAGUGCAGAAGAGGAGAGUGGAACUCCAUGUGUAGCGGUGGAAUGCGUAGAUAUAUGGAAGAACACCAGUGGCGAAGGCGGCUCUCUGGUCUGCAACUGACGCUGAGGCUCGAAAGCAUGGGUAGCGAACAGGAUUAGAUACCCUGGUAGUCCAUGCCGUAAACGAUGAGUGCUAAGUGU
rnacentral:rRNA from 1 species